UUCAUUGUCCCAGGGGCUGUGUCGAUGCGUCUACCUAUAUUAUUCUACCAUGGUUGUUACCAUACGUUACCACACGCAGCAUUAGUAACUAAAAAUUGCAACCCUGCUACAUUUUUACAAGCCAACAAAUUGACAACAUUGUGGCGGCAAAAAAUCAAUAAUUGUGAUUGAAUUGUGCUCAGUUGGCGGGGAAAUAAACAACAAACGAACAUCGGUUUUCAGACUAAAAUUUUAUAAUAUUUUGCUUUUCUUGCUGUCAAUUCAUGAAAAUCGAAGAAAUUAAAAGUAGCGUUCGCACCCACGCAUAUCAUAUCAUAACAAUAUUAAAGGUUUGGGCAUAAAUGGCGAAGGUGCGGCAUUGCCCAUGACCGCUGGUUUGGUUGGACAAAAUGUUGUCCGAGAAGCUGCUGUUAUAGUUGCGAAUUUGUAAAAAAAACAAGAAAAUGCUGGUCUUGUCUCACAGCUGAGGUACCAUCCGGUACGGGCAAAGCUGCAAUUGCUCCAGCUAUUGCACAGGAAUUAGGCAAUAAGGUUAAGGUAACAUUCUGCACAUGAUGAGUUCGGAGAUAUUCCGCAGUGACACCUUUGCAACGGAAUUGGAUUUGGAGACCGAGGGUUGGUUGUGUUAUAUGUGACACCACAGACACUGCCUCACCUCAUGGCAUUCCCUUGGAUUUACCUGAUCUAUGGCUCAUCAUAGGCAUCUUGCCAUAGCAUUCCAGUGAAAUAUGGAACAACUCAUAAUGUUAAAUGGAGAACCUGCAAUUUGAAGAGUCUGCCUUUAAACGUCUCAAUGACGUUGACUGUCCAGUUGCAUAUUGAUGAUAUCAUGCCUUAUUCUUGGGUGCAAGACGUUCAUCUAAACGUCUAUCCGAGAAGAAUAAUAAAUGUAUGAUGAAAUCUAUGGAAUUGACUCACACUGACAUUAUUUGCUAUAUUUCAUACCUGUCACAUUCCUUACUUACCCACAUAUUUUAGCAAUAAAAAAACAAUAGUUUGCCUGCCAUUAA